ensembl:lncRNA
UGUUAACUUGACUGUAUAUUGAGAGAUUCUGCAGCUGAUAGAACAGCAUUUUUAAAUGUAACAGGUGGAAAAUUACACUGUGCUUAGUGACUGAAGUUUUUAACUGCUAGUCCCUUUAAAAACACGUUUGUCAAGUGUGUAUUCACACAUAUACUUAAAUCAAGGGACUAAAUGCUUGCUUUGUUUUAGCCAUCUUUAUUGUUAUUUUUAGAAGGAAACUGGCUUUCGUAGUGGAUUGCCCUCUGUGUUUUCUCUUGGCUUUUAAUAUGCCAUCAUCAUGUGUAUGUGAUUAAUUUUCAAAAUUCAUGACUUGAAGUGCAAGACAGAUCUAAAUGUUUGUUUACCAAGCUAUGUGACUUUUCCCGAAGGAUCUGUACUUUAAUUCUUUACAACAGCUUAAAAAACAUUAUUUCUUAAAUCUUUAAAUCACUGUGUCUAGGUCAUUUUUAUAUUGUGUGCCAUAGAACUUACCCAUGGAGAAAGAGAGCUCCUUCAUUUUUGGACAACUACUGUAAUGAUUUUUUUAAGGAAAAAUGAAAGGUGCCAGGGGUAAUCAUGGCCAGUCAAUAAUUACAUAAUGGACUUCAAAUACUACAGCUGUCAGUUGACGGAUUUGUUAUGUAGUAAAAUAUAUGAUUUUGUAUGGGUUUCUUCAGCUCUUUCCCUGCCACUAGCAACCAGAAUAGCACUUUACCUUUUGGUUGGCUAGAUAAGUGGCUGACUACAUGUUUUUUUUCACUGUGGUGUGAUUGGCUGAAUAAUCUUUCAUUAAUUGAAAUAUGAAUUGAAGUCACAUGAAAAAUUACCUUUGGUUUUAAACCUACAAUAUUUUGAUUGUCCAUGUUUUCAUCACAUGCUGAGUAAAAGUGCCUUACAAUGUAAAAAUUGUACAGUACUUAUGUUCCCAAGUAGCAUCAUCAUCUUCUGGGUAGUAAUUACAUUGUGGUAUUAAUAUUUAGAGAAAUGGACCUCAGCAGUGUAUUUACUGUGCAUCUUUUAAGUCCUUAACUGUAGUUUUAAUAAGCAUGACAUUAUUUGAUAAGUAUAUGACAUUUACAUCAUUUCCAAAAAAUACUGCCAUGACUGUCUUUUAUGCAUAUUUUAGCCUAAAAUUUUGAAGUGUCUUUUCUUUCUUUCCUUUGUUUUUUCAUUUUGUUUUGUUUUUUGUUGUUGUUAUUGAUAUUAAACAGUGUAAUCUUUGCAAGCAUAUAUUGAAGAUUAUUCUGGAGCAUUUAUUGCCUUACCAGAAAUGUUAGUAAGAAAUGUUCUUUAGAAUAGAAAGAUAGACUUGAGUUUCUAUACUUUAAUAAGAGCUCUUUGUUCCUGGGGGGAGGGGGGGGGGAUUUUUACAUUCAUCUCAACUUAUUAAAAACCCACAACUGAAAUGAAUUUUAUUCCAAGGAUCAGCAAUUUUAGAAUUUCAGAUAGUACUUGCUCAGAAGUACAAGCUAUUCAAGAUAUUAAGAGAAUAACAAGAUCUGUCGAUCUACUAAUGAAUCAGAAUCUAUGUACUUGAACAAAUGUAUGAAUUUCAAAUAUCUCAAAGCAAAUGAAAAAGUGUUCUAGAGUGUUGUUGCUUUUUUAAAAAGCACUGAGGUUAGACCAAGGUAUAGUUUGUUUUAACAGACAUUUAGAUUAAUUAUGAAGAUAAGGAAUGCAUCAUGGGUCAAAAAUCAAACAUUCCUCUCAUGUUAUGUAUAUUUUGUUCUUGUUAUAUUGGCUUUAUUUUCAAAAUUGUAGUUUGUAGUAUUAGUUUCCUUUAAUUGGUAUCCUUGCAUAUACUAUUCAUUCAAUAAAUGAGUUAUGACUUUGAUAUUUGUAUGCCUUUUUUGUGGAAGUGUAUAAUGAAGUUUAUUUGAAUAUAGCAAUAGUAUCAUAUUCCUUUUAGUCUGGCUUUAUUUCAAGGUGAAAUAUCUAGUUUAUUUAAGAAUUUGUAGAAAUCAAAAACAAAUAUGGGAAAAAAAGUUUGAAUUCAGUUCAAAGUUUCACAAUAUUAAACUUUUUAUUAUGGCAAUAAAUGGCAGUCUUUUAUUUACAAUAGAAUUGCAUUACAUCUUGGUUUUUUCAGUACAUGGUUCAGAUACCUACAGCUUAAAUCAUGUCUUUAGGAACCUAGUUAGAAAGUGAUUUUGAAAAUCAACACACCAAAACUCCUUGUGCAGUUUAUCUGAUAGAUACCAGAAUUGAAGGGUUAAUACGUCAGAAAGAGAUUCCAUUUUAUACACUUAACAUUUACUCCCAUUACCAUGGACAGCUUGCUGCUAGUACAGUGUUCCUGUAUUGCAGUUUAUCAUAUCCAGGGCAAAAAUCAAAAUUCUAAUUAGUGAGCUGGGCAUGGUGAUGCACGACUAUAAUCCCAACACUCUGGGAAGCUGAGGCGAGAGGACUGCAAGUUCAAGCUCAGCCCAGACUACUUAGUGACGAAG